GUUCACUUUGCUUUCUUUUCCUGAUUCAUAAUUGAUUGUAUUGCUUUCUAUGACCAUAUGUUCACUUUGUUUUUCUUUGAGAAAAUCUACAAAAAUUUUAUUAAGAAAGCUUCACUUUUUGGUUAAAAACCUUUUUGUUCCAAGGAAAAAGAACUCAGCUUCAUGUUUUUGAAAUUUCCGAUUUGAAAUUAUGCAUGUUACUUUGAAUGUCUCCGAUAACAGUUAAGUUUAAUUUUUUCAUCUAUCUUUUCAUCAAUUUCGUCAAAUGGAGAAUGUUGAGAUGGAUGAUGGAUGUGGGAAGUUAAUAGAGAAGAUAAAAUAAAAAUAUAUAUUAAAAACAAUUGAGUUAAUUAUGAUUAAGGAUAAUAUAAAAAAUCAUCUAAGUUGAUAUGAACUUGUUCAAAGCUACUUAGCAUCAGGAAGAGAUAAAAGGAUCCAAAAAAAAAAAAAACCCUGAGAAAGAAUAAAAAAAUUUAUGAAUCUCAGUUUAACCACUGAUAUUGUCUUUAUAGAGUUCAAUGGAUAAAGGAUACAACAUCCAAUUGCAAAUAAUUGGGAUCUUAUUUUUGUGUUGUUUUAAGUAUUUAGCUACAUAAUUGCAAAAAGAAAAAAAAUGUGGAAGCAUAUCCUACAUGCACUUCAGAUGUGGCUAUUGGCCUGCUACCUCACCUUGAGUUCUACAAGUUUAUGUAUAUUCUUUUUUUUAAUGAUUUAUGUGGCAUGAGAUAUACACUAGUGUAGCAAUGCUCUGAUGAAGUAUGGGAUUUGUGUGGUAAAAUUUAUAUACUGCACAAUUAUUUGCUCUUUGCAAGUGAUCCUUCUGAACCUGGUUGUAUUUUGAUUAUAUCGCUUUUGGUCCUGCAUCAUGUCGUUUUUCUUGUCAUGUGACCCUUUUUGUUAUUUUAGCUUAGUAUGUAGCUUACUCAAACCUGUCCACAGAUUUCUAGAUUAUACAUACAAAUUGAACGUAUGCUUGCAAGUUGUAUGAUUCUGCUUUAGGCAUAUAUCCAUCCUGAAAACAGGGAGCUGUGGAGAGAUUACUAAGUUAUGGAAAAGAAGGUCAGGGCUUCGGAGCUUGCUGAUAUUGUCUUUUGGCGUGCUCCAAAACUUGAAUGGCAGAUCAACAAUAGUUAAUACUGGCGUGCAUUUGGCCUUGUUCGGCGACCUGAUGCCCGGCCGCAGAGGAGGGCAUUCCUUGGAAUUGGGUUCUCAUCCCUCCAUGAAUUAGCAGGAGAAUACACACGGAGAUAGAACUGCUGGCCCAAGUACUGGCGAGCCCAGUGCUCCG